UGUACUAAAGCUAUACUAAACUAUAGAGAGAAAGGAAUACUUCAGGAAAGGAAUGAAUAAUAAAAACCCGUGACAGACCAGAGUGUCGACACAGCUGGGCUAGGGUUGGUCAUUAAGUCAACACAAUUCACAUGGAACCAAUCAAAGGUGCACCUGCCAUAUUCCAUAGCAAUCAGAUAAUUAUUGUUUACGUUUCUUUUCUGAGGCUUCUCAGCAGAGAAAUCCUGGUGAAGGGAUUUUUCAGAAAAUAUCACAGGGACACAUAAGCAGAGCUCCAAGGGGAUAUUCCAGGACCUAGCAACUACUGGUAGUGAGCUGCAGCGUUGUUUCUAGGCAGCAUUCCCACACUCCUCCAUUUCCAUGGGAAGAAAACCCAGAUGAUUUCUGAAUUCUUACCACCUCCACACUUAUGACUCAUUCCUCAAGUCAGUCUCCUGAAGGAACAACCCAAGACACGUCAAGCAGAAACUGUGCUCAGCCAAAAGAGCAGGCACGUUGCUUCUGGUUCCCCUCCAGGUACUGAGCCUCAGAAGAGCAGAGAACCGCAUGAUGUUUCCUUUCUGAAAUGAAAAAGAUCUGUGCCACUGGCUUGGCCAAAAGCAAAUCUUUACACUGUUCUCUACUAGGACCGUUUCCCCUGUGGAUCACAGUGCUUUUCCAUGUCAUACCUUGAGGAUUCUGUUUUGGGGUCAUAUGAUAAUCUGAUAUAUACAUGGUUGUAAUUAUAUUUUUGACCAGUGAAUUAUUCAGCUGAUAUCAAAUACGUGUGAGAUUAUUUUAUCUGAUAUACCUUUCAAAGGUGUGGUCUAAUUCCUUUAUUUUUAUACAAUUGGCUGAUUGGACAAGAAAUUUUCAAAUCCGUACUUGUACAUCAACUACAAUUUUACUGGGUCAGCCAUAAUCUGUACUCCUUUCAGCUUCCAGAACAGAGUCCUUUCAAAAUGCUAAUGAGACACAGUUCAUAGGGAGUGUCCUCUCUUUGUACACCCUGGCAGUGGUAGGGUCAGAGUCACCAGCUGGACUCUGCGUUCUCGUGACAGAGGCAGACUGUCCUCUCUGACUCAUUGCUACAUCGUGGUGAGGAAGCUGACAAGGAGCUUCUUUUCCCUGUCUCUUUUUUUUUAUUACACUCUCUCACUGCUCUUGCAUUAAUGGCCUUGUUCAGUACAAGAUUUUUAUGCGUGUGUUUCGUUGUUGUAAGUACUACACGAUGAUGAGGAAGCAAAUCCUUUUUUUCAGGGGAUGUGUUGAACAAAUAUCGUUCAGGGGAUAAAAGCAGGUCAGCUAUUUCAGUAGGCAGCAUCUCCAGAUGUAAUUCCUCUAUGAAUUAUAUACACAGAUAUGAACUCACAGACACUUCUUAACUGAACUGGCAUUUGUAAAAGAAGAGGCAGCAAACUGAAGAAGCUAAUUUUCUGUGGAAAUGAUCCUACAAUGUGAGUUGUAGCUGUCUUGUACAGACUGACUUCAUUUAACUCCUGAAAAUAGGUCUUGUACACACUGACUUCAUUUAACUCCUGAAGAAAGGCUUACUUUGAUUUCAGUUGAUGUGGUUACUUUGGUUUCUAAAUCAUGUCAUAUAUACUGUAUUUAAAGGAUUCUUUUCAGAGACUGGAUGAAAGAAAAAUUGGCAGAGAGGUAUAAUUAUGAAUGGAUAAAUUGUUCUUUAUGAUGUGAGCUACAAAGUGUCACAAUGCUCUGAAUUAAUGAAAGUCUCCUGUAAUACAGGAGACAGUAAAAAUAGAAUCUCAAAUACAUUAAACAUAUGCCUUAGGAAUUCUUUAACAGAUAAAAUUAGUUUAUUUCAGUUAUGUAGUUCAGAAUAUCUGCAUAAACAGAAAUACAACCUACAAAAUGUACUAAUAGUUUAAAUAGUCAUUGUCAAAGAAGCAUAGAGAUGGGAACCAUAAUUGUGUCAUGUGCAUAUCUUUUUCAGCACCAGAUUGCAGUGUCUACUGAUGACAAUUGCCAUUUGGUGAACCUAGCUGUUUAUCUUGACUGAAGAGAUAACCAUCUCUUCCUCGGAAAGAAAUCAGAAAGUUUUCAUCAGACUUGAACAAUGAUGUAUAAGGAGUAAUUCUGGAAGAUAUUAUGUCCUGUGGGCACACUUUUCCCUUACAGUCUCUCAAACAGUUUAUUUUCAGUCUAAGAUUAUUUGCUCCUACUUUAUACCAGCAAUAUUGCAUUUUCUAGUCAAUGUGUCUAUGAAGGUUCAUGAAGGGAAGAAUUGCAGACUUCUAUUGCUCCAGUUAUUUCCCACCCAUAUAUUCAGGUAUCAAGAGCAAUGGAAAAGCAUUAACACAGUUUAGAAUUUCAGAUUUCUAGAGCUAGCAGUUCUUUGGCCUAUGCACAGAAAGGUCUGCAACAAAAUUAGGACCAGAUUUGGAGAGGAGACGCUGGAAGUCAAAGCAGAUGCAAACCCUCGGUCUACUAUUAUCCACAAUUACUGUGAGGGAUAAAGAGUUUAACUCAACUGUGUCCAUCUUGAUAUAAGGUAAUAUUUUUAGACAUAAAUGUUGUUUUGUCAUCUGUGGAUGCUAUCCCUAACUUUAAGGGAUUGGGAUGAGGCUGCAGUGGGGGCAAGAGUAGAAAAGAGUUGAAGCGGAAGUGGAAGAGGAAGGGAAUUAAGCAACCAAAGGUUGUUUGCAGUGUUUACUGGGAAAGUAAACAUGUUUUGUGAAGAGUACAACUAUGAAUAUUAACUAGAGGUCACACAGACAGAUUUAGAAAUGUAUUUGUGAGAUGGUAACUAGAAAAUCCUUAUUACAUUUUUUUUUUUUACUUUUACUGUGAUCAGUAAAGCUUCUUUUAUUUGUUUCCAUCAGCUUAUAUUAAGUCAUUGCUGAAGAAAAAGAAAACAAUCUGCUUUAUUUGCUUCAUAAAUAUAAUUAUAAACUUGCCAGAACCAGGUUAGCCACAAAUUAACAUGACAGCUACAUUCACUUUCACAUGGAUUAUUUAUGAAGAAACUUUGAUGGGCUGAAGCUACUGAUAGGACCAGGUGUUGCUGUGGAAGCCAAUAGAGUUGCUAUAGUGACAGGCCACAAGAAUGGUCUAAAAGGUAUGAUAAAUGACAAACAUCUUGCAAUUUGCAAGCCAGAAAAGCUUGGUAUUUAGGAAAUACUUGCUAGAUCUGCAAAUUUAUUUUCUCAUAUGGGAAAAGGCAGGUAUAUGGUAUUAGGGUUCACAUUAAGCUGAUAUACUCCCUUGGCUGUUUUAUGCCUAUAAACACUGUGCUGAUCUGAAUGUUUGUGGAGGAACUGAAUUACUCCCUUCUGCUGUGCAGAUAGAGGUAGUGUCACUGCCUUUCAUCUAAGCAUUAGACUUAACAAAUUUCCACAAGAUGACCCUCUCAGCACCUUUGGAUUUACCAGAGUAUGCUACCUGUGGUGGCACCAUAUUUUAAAUAUUUGAAGUUCAUUCACCUUUUUAGAUCUCUGAGCUGGCAUGGAAACUGGUAGCAGAUUUUCCAAAUAAAUAAUACAACAUAAACCUAUUUUAUACAUCAGUUAACACUUUCAGGCUAAAGAAAAUAAAACAGGGAAAAAAAAAACAACAACAAAAAAAAAGUCAACAAAAAACAUUUUCAGAAUCUAUAUAACCAUAGCAAAGAAAGCUUUGAAAUUUUAGUAAAGUUAGUAAAAUCUCACAGUUGUCUUUACAAUGUCAAAAUUUCCUUUGUGAUAAUUGUUGCAUUCAUUAAUAUUUACAUAUUAUAAGGUUUUUGUUUUUCUACUAUCUACUAAAUUGCAGGAAGUCAGAGCCAGUUUAUGAAUAUACUCACAAGGCUUAAGACAAGUGGGAAUUCAUAAAGAUAAGAAAUAACACUUUUGCAAUAGCUUAAUGUUGAAUAUUGGUGGCAAGUUAGUAUUAAACUUUGAAGCAACACCUGCAGUACUACACCUCCAUGCAGAAAGCUUGAAGUCAUGGCAUACUAGUCAAAUAAUACUUGAAUGCUGGGAAAGUCACAUUUCACAAUGCUAUUGGCUGCAAUGGACAUUUAAAGAGUCUGUUGCUGUUCUCAGAUGUAUAUUUCAGGUUCAAAUUAAUCUUUUAAAAUGCCUUCUGCAUUUUUGGUCUAAGCCACUUGUGUUACUUCUCCAUGUCCUUUUUCUCCUUUCCACGUCUUGUGGUACAAACACUAAAUUCAAGUAGAAAUGGCUACGAUUGCCUUCUUUCUCCAAAGCAAGAAACUUCUGUACUUCUGAACUUGUAAACACCAACACAUGAACAAGCACCGAAACUUGUAAAUUUCAGAAAUCAUCAUUCUUCAUGAAAAUAAAUUAUAGUUUGUUACUUGA